GUCUCACUACGGCGUUGGUGACUACCAACAAUGUUUGUCGAUCUAUGUUUGUUCCGAACGGGAGCCAAGUUGCACCGGCGGCAGUAAACCGAGCUUGUACUCGGAAACUUUAAGCCAAAUGCCACGGCACCCCCCUGGUUUUCCCAGGUCGGAAACUGAGGUAAGACGGCGUUGCGGUGAGGCC
rfam:Phormidium tenue NIES-30 NIES-30_Scaffold_8, whole genome shotgun sequence.